GGAUAGAUAGAGACUGACUGGUUGUAGGGGAUCCAGAAGAUCAAGUCUGUUACUGUGUUUGCAGUUCAUAGCUAUGGAAGGGAAAAGGCAACCAAAAGGCCUUCAAGGGCUGCCUCCCCCAGGAUGCACCUCUACCUCUAUUUGAAUUCAGGUCCUGACUCAUCAGCUGCUGUUGCUGAAGCUCAAGCAUGACAUUAACAUCCCUAGACGAUGUGGCACUGCCAGGCAGCCAAGGCCAUGGCUGUGAGGACGACUUACUCCACGGCACUAACCCUCCCAGCCUCGAGCCGCAUAAUUCCAUAAAGAGUCUUCUGAAUAAAGAUGUUAACAGCCACGAGGGUGCAACGUGAAGGCACCCUUGGAGAAUCCAGCAUCUUCGUUGCAUCUUCUCGGCCCCCAUGGGAGAACUCAGCUAUGCACUGUGCAGCACGGAUGACCUUGCUUCGUGAGGAACUCCCAGAAAAGGCUGUCUCUUUAGGCUCUGCGAGUCUCUGAAUGUUUUGCUGCCCAUGGACAGACUCUUCCCCCUCCAGUCUCUCUCUGAUUCCUUUUGGUUCUGACAGCUGCCACAUGAAAUCAGAGAGCCACCAGUCAGAGGAAAGAGGCAGGAAGCCAAUCCUAGGGACAGAACUGUGUUGCUUAGAAACAACGACCUCAGAAUACAAUUGACUUGGAAACGGGGUCUCUGCGGACUUGAUUAGUUUAGGAUGACAUCAGGUUGAAGCACAGUGAGCUCCCAGUGCCAACGUGGCCAGUGUCCCUGUUGAGGCAGUGUGUCAACA